rnacentral:tRNA from 1 species
GUCUUCAUGGUGUAGUGAUCAACACGCUCGGCUUGUAGUUGAGAGGUUCGUGGUUCGAGUCCUGGCGACGGCA